rnacentral:lncRNA from 1 species
CAGUAUAUCCAUUUCGAUUCAUCGACAGCAUUUCAUUUCAUACAAAAUAUGCUUAUACAACAAUAACAUAAUAACCAACAAGACUUGCCCAUAAUUCUGAAUAGCUAUCCACUGCCUCAGCCCAAAUCAAACAUCUCAAAUGGUGACAAGCUGACCUGAAAGGUUUAUAUAACAACGGAAUGAGCUAAAAAUAGCUCAGCAAGUGACAAAGCAUAUUCAAAACAAAAGGAAUGGUUUCAAACAAGUAAGGUAUCAUAAUGCAAGGCAGAAUACAAGAAUUCUCAAGGAUACCAUUUCAUUAGAUACAAAAUCAUAUGUAUCAUGUCAUUCAAAACAUAUUUGAUUCGUAACAAAUGGAGCAUAGAGUAAUUGGAGCAUAUCAAUAGCGUACGAGAUGUUCCGGAGCAUAUCAAUGGCAAAUGGUACAUUUCGAAGCAUAUCAAUAACAAAUGAAACAUAUCGGAGCUUAUCAAUGGCAUAUGAAUUGUUCCGGAGCAUAUCAAUGGCGUAUGGAACAUUUCGAAGCAUAUCAAUAACAAAUGAAAUGUUUCGGAGCUUAUCAAUGGCAUAUGAAAUGUUCCGGAGCAUAUCAAUGGCAUAUGGAACAUUUCGAAGCAUAUCAAUAGUGAAUGAAACUUUUCAGAGCAUAUCAAUAACAAAUACCAUACAGAAGCUCAAACGUCGUCUUUGACGUUGCAAUCAUAUCAUUCUUAUCCAAAGCAUGUACAUAAACACAUAACCAAAGCUCUGGAUAUCAUAUCAAACAUAUAGAAGGUGUAGUGGGAUCUCAAACAAAAUUGUGAUUCAUCCAUUUCUGAAUGACCACCAGACAGAAGUCUCCCACGUCUGGGAGCUCCAUCCACCCACGUCUAUAUAAAGUCAGAGGGGGCCGGCAGAGCAUCGCAGGCUCUAAGCACAUACCCUUUACCAUUUCUGGCAAAGGUCCAGACAAUCCCACAAACACCAGAGUACAAGAGGGCAGUUUUAUCAAUAAGUAGCAUAUAUCGGAAGCACACGCGGAAACAACAAAACGUACAUGUGCCUUUUCGAGACAAUACGAUGCAAGCAAUAAUCUUUCACAAUGGUAUUCGGAUUUUGAAAGAAAAUGGAAUAGGCACAUAUCGAAAGCAAAUGCAGAACAAUGGGAUACACAUGUGCCUAAAUGAGUCAAUACGAUAUAGCAUAAACGUUACACAAUAGUUUUCAAGAAUGCAAAUAACUUUAAGGACAAGAGCAUAUAAGAAUUCAAAGUAGUAAUAAAAAGCUCAAUUGAAUAAGAAAGCUAAAGGAUAUCAAUUUCCAAAGGAAUGAAACCAGAAUAUUAGAAAUCGACCAAAGCUCGAUUUCUGGCAGAAUACAAGAGGCACAUUGAACAAAUGAUUCAAACUAUCAAUCGUGCUCCAAUUUACUCAGAAAUAUAUCAUUGGAUUAUACUUUCAGAUAAGACUGGCUUCAUAUGAAUUGAACUGUCUAAUAGAGAGAGUUACAAAUAAUUUGGUAAACAAGGGUCGUAGAACAAAAUCUCUGUUUGGCAGAAUUCAUAAUAUCAGAUUCAACAGAUAACUGGGCAGGUGUUUGGAUUCCAAAUCUUUCAAUCCAUAUAUCAAAAGAAAGAUCUAUGAGUCUAGUUUCCAAUGAAAUAAGCUUUGAAUAAAUCAAUGUUUGCAACAGGGACUUAUAAGCAGUUCAGUAUCAAAAGGUCAGAAAUUACGAUCCCUGUUUUGCAGAAUCUGUAGGCUCAUUUGAAACAGAAGUUUGGGCAGACAAACUUACUCCGAAUUCUUAAAAUAAGCUAUCAAACAAAGGUUUAUGAGUCUAUAUUCUGAUCAAAUAAGAUUUGUCCAAAUCAGAUGUCAAUACAUGAAGUUAUAAUCAUAACAAGGUAGAAAGGUCAGAAUCUUGGAAGUUGCACAGAUUCGAAUCGUUACGCCUAAACAGGAGAUAUAUCAAGUGCAAGGCUAGAACAAUUCAAAGUUUCUCAUAUUCAAAGCAAAUGUAGAGAUAAAAUUGCAGUGAGGAAAGAUCAGGAUACUUGCAAUAGGUAAGAUUAGAACAAUUACAAGAGAAACGAUCAGGAAACUUGCCUUUCAAAGAUUUCGAUACAAAGAUCCAAAGAGUGUGCCAGCCCAAAUCCUUCUACUUUUCCUCUGUGUCCUCUCUCUCUGUUUCAUUUUCUACAUGUCUUUUCUUUUUCCUCUACAAUUGCAACUCAUACAGAACAUAGAGGCAUAGCCACCUGCUCUCUCUUACUCUCAUUCCUUCAUUUUCUUUUUCAAACACAGUUGUCGCAGCCAUCGCCGCUGCCACUACCACAGUCAUAGUCACGACCGCAGCUGCUGUCACAACCGCAGCCCCUUCCACUAUACUACUUCAUUGCUCCCUUCUCUCGCAGACAUAACUACUGCAUACGCAGUCGCUGCCACUGCGGCAGCAAUCCCGUCCGCAGCCCCUUUUUCCCCUUUCCUUUCUUUUCUUUCCCAGCUGCAAUUGCCGCAGUCGCAGCCAUGGCCGCAGCCACCACAGCCGCAGCCUCUUCUUCCUCCCCUGCUCUAUUUCCUCUCCUUCUCUUCCAGCUGCAGCUACCACUGCCACUGCCACAGCUGCC